AGCUCUCACCUAAUGAUCUCCCUACUCACUCCUGACCAGGACGCAGGUCAUUCCCCAUAAUAAUUAGCUCACAGGCAGAGUUUCCAGGCGCUUCCAGGAGCAUCAAUCACCGGGAUGAAUGGGAAGCCCGUGUGUGGGAACUGCAGGGGGAGCUGGGUGCAGAGCCACCUCAGCCCUGUCACCCUGCGCGUGUCUCUGCCAUGCUUCCUUGGAUCCCUAUCUACCCCGUUUUGGGUGACAGGACGAGUUGGGCCAGUUACCAGAGUACAGGACAUUUACUUUGUGGACUGCCAUUCAAUUUGACAACAGAUUUGUUUUUAAUGUGCACUUUCUGGAAACAAGAUAUUGUUCCUCAAAGAAAUGAAAAAAAUGUUGGGAAUACAUAAGACAUCAUAACAGACACCAGCCUGAGUCGAAGCUGUUAAAGAGGCCAAGAAUUCCCAAGCUUUCCCAGGCAAACGGGGAAGAACACUGGGAUGCCUUUUCCUCCUCCUCUGUCCAUCUGCAGGCCAAGUGUGCAUCAGUCACAGGCAAACUCUGAAUUGAGCUUUGUGCAAGUCUCUGGAAAGAGACCCAAGAUCGUGUGAUGAGCAAAAGUGACAGUGCUGGAGGCAGCGACAUCUGCAGAGCCAGCCCCAUCCCUAUCUGCAGCAGAAUAUGUAUGGGGAUCCUUUAUGUGAACAAUCCACCCAGGGUAGAAUGGGGCUUUUGACAUCAGCUGAGACCCAGGCGGCCUUACAAUGAGAGGGCUGUUGGUCAAAGGAAGGACUGUUUAAUGAACUGAGAAUCUGAGGCCAGCUCUGGCCAUCUGCACUUGGAAUCAUUAGAGCAACUCUACUGUAACUGGCAACCUUGAAUAAUGCAGCAAAUUCAUAUUCCAAAAUUGUGAACUUUAAAAUUUUGUGUUUGUGUCUAUGAUGAAAAGCAUUAUAUAAACAUUUGAUACUACAAUUUUAUUAGUAAGGAAGGCUGAAAAAGUAUCUCUCUUUUGACUCUGAGGUCAAUAAUGAUAAUGGCUUUUCCCCUACACUGGGAUAGAAAUGUUCUGUCAAGGAUAUGAAAACACUUUAUGAAAAUGAAAUUCAUUAAAGCCCUUAAUAAUCAGGUAGGGAAGGCAGGUGCUCACAAUUGUCACCUGUUGGUGAGUGAACACCUUAGGCUCGGGGAGGACAAUGACUCAAGAACAAGGUCGAAUUGCAGGUGGGGGGUGAAGCUGAUCCCUAACAGUGUCCUCCAGCCCCUGGCACUGAGGAAGGACAUGGAGGGCUUGCAUCGACUUUUCCUGGCAGGCUUGUGAUUCCCAGCCAGAAUGCAGGUGGCAAUGUUGUGAUUCCUGGCGUAACCUUCAAUGCUUCAAUGAUAAUCUCUGCUGGUGCCAGGCACCAGCUGAGUGUCACUGUGCAGCUCCCAGGCUUAAGUGAUGCAUGCCGAGGUUUUCAGAGCAGUCUCUCAUUUAUUAGUUGUGUUGGAAAGAAAUCUGUACUACCUAACUGGGUACCUCUGGAUUUUAACAGCUGUGGUUUAUAAGAGAUAUGAGAGGGGGUUUGUUUUCAAAGUGCCUUUCACAAAGUAACACCUUAGACUGUAGUUUACAUUCCAUUCCAGUAGGAUAACUUGCAACACUUCUGUGCUCAGAAAUCCAACUGUGCAAGAAAAGUCAGGUUAUAUUUUCAUACAGCCCGUUCUGGCAAAUAUGCCUUCACACCACUUUCCCUCCUCCUCACCGCUAUUGGCAAUAGUCCCAAUGGAAGAGUUUUAUGUCAAAUGCUGAGUAUCUUGGAAGCUGUCCUGCACAGACACGACUGCUUGGCUGCGUGUUGGAGAGUCGCGGUUGGACUGGGAGACCAGGAAGGUCCCUUCUGGUCUGAGAUGUGAUGACUCUAGAACUAAUUAGUUUCAACUCAUAACACGAAAUGAUACUAGCUACCAUUUGGUGGGCUUUUUCUGUGUUCCAGGCUCUGUGCUAAGAUCUUAGCAUUACUCUAAUUACAAAAUCCCUGCCAAUAUUAUCCUCAGUUUACGCAAGAACAAAUGGGUUUAGGGAAAUCAAAAACUUGUCCAAUGACACAGAUUUAAGAUUUAGCAACUGAUGGCCACGUGGAAAUGGAUUACAGAUUAUUCUAAUUGGACACUCUAAACGUGCAAUUUAACCAGAAUGAAAUUUAGGGCUGCGUGCUGUGGCUCAUGCCUGUAAUCCUAGCACUUUGGGAAGCCAGGUGUAUCCCUUAAGCCCAGGAGUUUGAGAGCAACUUGGGCAACAUGGUGAAACCUGUAUCUACAAAAAAUACAAAAAUUAGCCAGGUGAGGUGGUGUAUGCCUGUAGUUCCAGCUACUUGGGAGGCUGAGAGAUGGGAGGAUUGGUUGAGCCUAGGAGGUCGAGGCUGCUGUGAGCUGUGAUGGUUCCACUGCACUCCAGCCUGGGCGACAGAGACAGACUCCAUCUCAAAAAAAAAAAAAAAAAAAGUAGCUACCUUGUGGUUGCACUCGUCUGAGACUAGCUCAUGGCUCCAGCUCUCAGGGUGGUGAGUAAUGAUUCUGUGGUCAGACGCAGUUUUGAAGUCAGGCAAGAAAACCUUCAACAAGAGUUAGAGAUGUCCUGUCUAUGAAUUUCUCCUCUAGGCUUAGGGAUAGCCCUGGGAUUCAUGUCAUGCCAGUUAGGGAUCCACUCAUUGUAAGCAAUACAAGUGCCCCCGAAGAGACAGUGCAUUAAUUGUCACCCCUUAGGAGCAUUGUGUGAAUUAGUGUGAUUUAGCACAUGCCCAGAGGGAUGAAACUCUAGCUCCAUAGGGUAGGUCCUGAUUACUCCUGGAGCAGGCAGCCAGCUCAGCUCAUGGGGAGCUCUGAGAAGUCUCUCAAUGCCUCGCAUGCAGCCCCUGCUCAGGAGUCAUGUGUCACUUCACAGUCUUGCUUUCCAGUGGGUCAAAGCAUGAUGUUUAUGAGAAACAAAUACACAAAAUUCUGACUUGUGUGAAUACAGAACACGUGCAAUAAAACGACUGCAAUCUAUUUUUAAAAUGUGGUCUGAGAAGUCAGGUUUAAUAUGACUAUGUAAUAUAUAAACAAUAUAUUUUCCACAGAAAGGAAAAUAUAAAUAAUAAAAUAUGUCUAUUUCUUUUUUUUGGUGGAAAAUUACUCCCACAAUUUGGUCCCAAGGGGGUCUUAAUUUGUCAUCAGGUCUGUGGCUAAAUGUCUUAUAAAGGAAUGCUUCUUUCUUUCGAGAAGUGUACAGGAACAGUCUGCACUGACUGCUUUUACCUGUAAAUGUUUUGAGAAUUCAGAAGUCACUUUCCUUCCACAAUAGGUGCUAGGCAUUUUAUUUAAAUAAAGCAAAAACAUUUCUGUCAUAAAGAAGGUGUUAAUAACCUCAAAGCUAUGCGAAAUAUACUAGUACAAUCUAAUACUCAUGGUGAAAAAUACAGUAAUUAAGAGCAAUUCAAGUUUUUUUGUUUUGGUUUAACUUCAGAAUUAAAAUAAACUCAGAAUUA